AGUGAACGCUGGCGGUAGGCCUAACACAUGCCAGUCGAACGGCAGCACAGUAAGAGCUUGCUCUUACGGGUGGCGAGUGGCGGACGGGUGAGGAAUACAUCGGAAUCUACUUUUUCGUGGGGGAUAACGUAGGGAAACUUACGCUAAUACCGCAUACGACCUACGGGUGAAAGCAGGGGAUCUUCGGACCUUGCGCGAUUGAAUGAGCCGAUGUCGGAUUAGCUAGUUGGCGGGGUAAAGGCCCACCAAGGCGACGAUCCGUAGCUGGUCUGAGAGGAUGAUCAGCCACACUGGAACUGAGACACGGUCCAGACUCCUACGGGAGGCAGCAGUGGGGAAUAUUGGACAAUGGGCGAAAGCCUGAUCCAGCCAUACCGCGUGGGUGAAGAAGGCCUUCGGGUUGUAAAGCCCUUUUGUUGGGAAAGAAAAGCAGCAGGUUAAUACCCCGCUGUUCUGACGGUACCCAAAGAAUAAGCACCGGCUAACUUCGU
rnacentral:rRNA from 1 species